rnacentral:rRNA from 1 species
GACAGAGGGUGCAACCGUUGUUCGGAAUUACUGGGCGUAAAGCGCGUGUAGGCGGCCCUGCAAGUCGGAUGUGAAAUCCCACGGCUCAACCAUGGAAGUGCAUUCGAAACUGCAGAGCUAGAGUCCUGGAGAGGAAGGUGGAAUGCUUGGUGUAGAGGUGAAAUUCGUAGAUAUCAAGCGGAACACCGGUGGCGAAGGCGGCCUUCUGGACAGUGACUGACGCUGAGACGCGAAAGCGUGGGGAGCAAACAGG